rnacentral:rRNA from 1 species
UGGGGAAUAUUGGACAAUGGGGGCAACCCUGAUCCAGCGAUGCCGCGUGUGCGAAGAAGGCCUGCGGGUUGUAAAGCACUUUAGUUGGGGAAGAAAUGAUCAUAGCUCGAAUAGGGUUGUGAAGUGACGUUACCCAAAGAAUAAGCACCGGCUAACUCUGUGCCAGCAGCCGCGGUAAUACAGAGGGUGCAAGCGUUAAUCGGAAUUACUGGGCGUAAAGGGCGCGUAGGCGGUUGUAUAAGUUAGAUGUGAAAUCCCCGGGCUUAACCUGGGAAUGGCAUUUAAUACUGUAUGACUAGAGUAGAGUAGAGGGAAGUGGAAUUUCCGGUGUAGCGGUGAAAUGCGUAGAUAUCGGAAAGAACACCAGUGGCGAAGGCGGCUUCCUGGACUCAUACUGACG